GGAAUAUUGGACAAUGGGCGCAAGCCUGAUCCAGCCAUGCCGCGUGAGUGAUGAAGGCCCUAGGGUUGUCAAGCUCUUUCACCGGUGAAGAUAAUGACGGUCACCGGAGAAGAAGCCCCGGCUAAAUGCGUGCCAGCAGCCGCGGUAAUACGAAGGGGGCUAGCGUUGUUCGGAAUUCCUGGGCGUAAAGCGCACGUAGGCGGAUUGUUAAGUUAGGGGUGAAAUCCCAGGGCUCAACCCUGGAACUGCCUUUAAUACUGGCAAUCUAGAGUCCGAGAGAGGUGAGUGGAAUUCCGAGUGUAGAGGUGAAAUUCGUAGAUAUUCGGAGGAACACCAGUGGCGAAGGCGGCUCACUGGCUCGGUACUGACGCUGAGGUGCGAAAGCGUGGGGAGCAAAC
rnacentral:rRNA from 1 species